UACGGAGGGGCUAGCGUUGUUCGGAAUUACUGGGCGUAAAGCGCACGUAGGCGGCUUUGUAAGUUAGAGGUGAAAGCCCGGGGCUCAACUCCGGAAUUGCCUUUAAGACUGCAUCGCUAGAAUUGUGGAGAGGUAAGUGGAAUUCCGAGUGUAGAGGUGAAAUUCGUAGAUAUUCGGAAGAAACACCAGUGGCGAAGGCGACUUACUGGACACAGUAUUGACGCUGAGGUGCGAAAGCGUGGGGAGCAAACAGG
rnacentral:rRNA from 1 species